rnacentral:misc_RNA from 1 species
GGGAUCUCUUAUCCAAGUUAAAUUGUUAGUGACCUGUUUGUUUCAAACACAUUGAAGCUCCGUUCAGCUCGGCACUCACUUCCAAUCUUUCAUCAGCUCUCAGUACACUAUAGCCAAACACGAACCUCGUUUUCUAGACCAGAGAGGAGACCAUGUUUCAAUUCUCCCUCCCUGAAGAGGGUCUUCGUUCCUCUGGGGUACACAUCGCCGUACUAUAAAGAACCAAAAGCCCUAUACUUGCCGGACGCCUGUUUCCGUCGUUUCGCCGGCCGAUCGGUGGUCCCGGACUACUUCAUUUUUAAUGAUGGACAUUGAAAGCAGUGAAGAGUUGAAUGAACACUCUCAAAUGCUUCCACCUCCACCUGGAACAUUUGUAGAUCGUGAAGAACUUAUACAACAUGUCGGAGACUUUGCUGUAUCUCAAGGAUAUGUAGUAACUAUUAAGCAAUCUAAGAGAGACAGAGUAGUGAUCCUUGGAUGUGACAGAGGAGGUGUUUAUCGUAAUAGGCGGAAGACUAUUGAUGAAUCCACUGCAGAACACAGCCGCAAAAGAAAAACUGGUUCUCGGCUUACCAACUGUCCAUUUGAAGUUGUGGGUAAGAAGGAUGAUGGAUUGUGGGUACUUACGGUAAAAAAUGGAACUCACAAUCAUGAGCCUCUGAAGGACAUUUCAGAACAUCCUUCUGCCCGUCGCUUCUCAGAGACUGAAGUUCAGUUAAUUAAAGAGUUGACUGAAGCUGGACUAAAACCUCGCCAAAUCCCGAAGAGAUUGAGACAAAGCAACCCAGAUCUUCUGUCCACUCCAAAGCACGUGUACAAUGUUAAGGCGAAACUCCGACAAGGAAAUAUGACAGUAAGACAAUUCAGGUCUUUGCGGCCUGAGAAAUCUGCUGUUAGGAAAAAUUAUCUAUCGGUUACAGAGCCAUCCUGGAGGCAGUGCUACCCCACUAGGGUUCCCAAUCUCAUUGGAGGUAAAUUUGUUGAUUCACAAUCCUUUGCAUCUAUCGAUGUUAUAAAUCCCGCAACCCAACAACUUGUUUCUCAAGUUCCUUUGACUAC